CCCUUCCUCUCCCCUCCCUCCCUCUCCCCCCAUCUUCAUGAACCAACGUCGAUUUUCAUAAGUCUUUAAAUUAGCUAUUUCCCAAUAUCGUAAUUCCUUGUUGCGUAAUCUAUUUUACUUCAUAUAUUAGUCACAGGCAAACACGCAAUAAAAGUGAUUACUAAAAUCAUAGCAUAUUACUAAUAAUGUUCAGUACCAUAAUAUCAAAAUUCCAUUGUUGUUUGCAUAUCAUUUGUAUUUUUCAUUUACGCAUUUUCUUUCUUGUAUAGCUGAAAAGAGAGAUUUUCAGGUUAACUAAAUGGCAAAGAGAAAAUGAUACUUUGCCAUUUCUUACAAUAAAGACAAGAAUAUUCAAGACAAGACAAAAUAUCGGAUUCUUCAUAAAUAUAAUUUCUUUCGCGUGUAAUUUUCGGGUCGCAUUUUACACAUUCGUAUUUUAAACUGAAAUUAGACUGUUAAGUAGUGAUGUAGUGUAUAUGUUUAACUAUUAUCGUUACCGUUGUUAUUACUGAUAAUCUCAUUUCUGUAAUCUUUAUCAUGGGCGGAUUUUGAAAAUGUUGUUGUAUUCAUCAUCAUCUUAAAGACUUUUUAGUUCUUCAUAAUUUGGUAAAUUUCUAACAUCAGAUUUAUGUCUUUGAUGACCAGGUUUUAGUAUUAUUUUUCAAUAUAUUUUUGAUUAUUGUAGUUUUUGACUAUGGAGAACUUAAAAAAAUGUAUAAUAUAUCCUCACUCUAUUGCAGGCAUUAUAUCAACAAUGUUGAUGAUAUAGAUAUCGUUUCCAUUUCAAAUACUUCUAUGUAAUAAGAAUUUCUUAAUUUUAGUGAUAUCAAUUAUUAUCAGAGUGUUUAAAAUGUUAUGUUUUAAUACUGCCCCAUAUUAUAAAAUGCUUUUACGUAUUCCGGAAGUAUUGCAGAAAAUUAGCUUUUUAGAAAUGACGGAUGCAAUAUAAGCAACUGUCAUCUUAUAAUCAAAACAAGACAAAUCAAGACAAGAUUUUUCGCAAAUAUGAUGGUAUCGAUUUUUUUUUCUUAUCUCUCCGACGAAUUCUAGUGAAAUUACACUCUUUUGCAUUCUGAUUCAGUAAGACAUACAUCUGUGUUCGUUUUUACACAGUGUGUGUUUAGGCGUUACAUAAACGUCUAUUUUUCUUGACGAUUUCUAAACACUGCAUUCUAAUGUAGUAAUUUCUUUUUAGCCAAUAUACUGCACUAUAACUUGAUGUCGACAGAAUGAAAAAUAUAAGAUGUACUGAUAUAAAGCAAGAAUCUUAGCAUUGCUUUAUUGUAUAAUCAAAACAAGACAUUUCAAGACAAGACAAAUAUCGGUUAAGUAUUUAAGCAACUAAUCGUUCUCUUAUAUCCAAAUUUACACUUCAUCGUUCCAAGUACUAUAAUUUUCAAGUGUAAAAUGGGUGUACAUUCAGAUAUCACUCACAUAUAUGAGUGUGUGUGUGUAUGUAUAUGUUUAAAUUUUUCGUUUGUACAUAGUAUUUAUAUAAUUCCAUCUUUCAUAAAUACACCUCAGUACUUAGAAUUUGAAUUGCUAAAGCAAUUUCCACCCAGUGCCUACGGGGAGUAAAACUUCGUAACAAUUACUCUAAUAUGUCCAUGGAGCUAGUGAGAUCCUAGUUGCACACUCCUUUCAGUGGGUCGUGUGGCAUGGUUAGUUUAGUACUGGUCCUCCGGUUCACACCUGGAGUGGUCCUGGAUUCGAGUCCUGGUCAAGGACUUAUUUAUAUAUAUUCAUGUUCCGAUAAUCACUUUAUACUGAUUGUUAUCAUAAAAUUACCGAUUGUUACUUUAUUGUCCUUACUCAGCGGGUUAUAUUCUUUCAAAUUUGAUUCAAAUUUCAAUCACUUUGAAAAUUUAAGUAGUGUGUGACUGUAAUUAUUACAGAAUGUAUUAAUCAAUAAUUUAUUAAUCGUGUACUUGUUGUUAGGAUUUGAUUAGUCUUGAAUUCGGCGAAAUGCUCUUAAAUAUGAUACUCAUCAAACGUGACUCCCGAUUAAAAGUGUGACCUUCCCUUAAGUGUGGUUCCAAGCCUGCAGAUCUCACCCUCAAGCUUCCAAGUGCGAACUUAGCCUUCAAGUGUGAUCUUAACCCCAUCCGCUACCAAGCCUUUCGAAUCUCCAAGUGUGCGUCAAAAGCACAAGGGUGACUAUAACCUUCUAGAAUGAUCUGUACCACCAAGUUUGUCUUCGGGGUACUGGAUGGGGGUCAAAGGAAGGAUCUGACCGGUCUUCUCGAUGUGUGCUGAUCGACUGGUACUUCACACUUCAAGUAUGAGAUCAGCUGAAGUCAGUAUGAGACAGCCAUGUGAAGAUACAUCCUCCUCGAAAUCACACUUUGCACUUCACACUUCGGGAGAGCCGACAUGACACUCGGAGACUUAAGAAUCCAGCCUGGAAUGGUCACACUUCAAGUAUGAAACGUCACACUCGACCUUGAGUACCAUACUUCUGACGGAUACUUCACAUUUAAGGAUCAGUCCACACAGCUCAGAAUCAGGAGUCAUUCUGAAACAUAUUACACUUAAUGUUCAUAUAACGUAGAUAGAGUCAUAGGAAAUUGUAGGUAGAUAGAUAAAUAUAGAUAGAAGCAGGUAGAAAUAGGUAGUCAGAUAGCAUUAUCAUCAUAUAGCUUGUAAACUGAUAGGUAAAUAGAUAAGAUUUUAUACAUGUAUACUUAUCCCAUCAUUUUGAAAUGUGUGUCUCUGGAUUUUGGAUUUUUUUCUGAUACCGAAAUACAUCGACUAUCUUUCAGACAUUUGUUAUAUUGCCUGUUUGUUGUUAUUAUGAAUAAAUUUGUACAUUCUUUUGAUAUUGAUAUAUUAUGA